rnacentral:rRNA from 2 species
AAAUUGAAGAGUUUGAUCAUGGCUCAGAUUGAACGCUGGCGGCAGGCCUAACACAUGCAAGUCGAACGGUAACAGGAAGAAGCUUGCUUCUUCGCUGACGAGUGGCGGACGGGUGAGUAAUGUCUGGGAAACUGCCUGAUGGAGGGGGAUAACUACUGGAAACGGUAGCUAAUACCGCAUAACGUCGCAAGACCAAAGAGGGGGACCUUCGGGCCUCUUG